GGGGGCCGGGCUAGCGGGCUACUGGGCUGCGGAGACCAGAGCCCGGCUCCACUGAAGAAACCCGCCGGCUGCUGGGGCAGGGCGGCGAAAGGUCAGUCGGCCGAGAGGAGUCCGUGGAGCCACCGUUUCAUAGCCUCAGGGAAAGGAUCGGGCGUGCUCACGAGCCCUCUAACCCAUGGCUUAAACACCCGCUUCCUAAGCCUGGAUGGAAUGAUAGGGUAUGCAUAAAUGUUCAUGUGGGCUCUGGAGUAUACCAGGAACUGAAGUAAGGUACAUGGACGUCUUGAAUAUUGUAACUGAGAUGGGCAAGCCUACACCUUUGCAAAUAAAGGAGGAUUGGGAAAGAUUAAGCCUCUCAAGCACUGUGAAAAAUCACUUUCUCUUGUUGUAUUCUUGGAGCCCCUGCUAAUUCAUUAUUGAAAAAUACCUGCUGCCUGCAUUUGGCCUUAUGUUGUCAUUUACUUGGUACUUCCUAAGCGUGGCUACUCCAAUGAAGCUUUAGUAUAUGUACUGAAAGAAGAUCCUCUCAUACUGCCACAGCCAAGAGAUAAGGUUGUAAAUCUUUAUUGGGAGAAGCCGUCAAGGACAGUUCUGUGAAAUGAAAGGAUCUCUGGAUCACCACAAAGUCUGGCUCAGUGACUAUGGCUUUGCAAACACUAAACAUUCCUGUCUCAAGUCCUGUAGAUGGCUUGAAAUAGUAUACAUAAGCAUGCCUUAUAAACAUCUUCAGUCUUUAUCAACUCUUUGGAGAUUCAGCCAUUCUUUUUUGUACUUUAGGGAAUUAAAUCAUUUUAUAAUGUAUAAAUCUGAGCAUGGCCGAUGGCAGAAGAAAUUUUGUCAUACGUUUUUAAAGAAAUAAAAAUGUAUUAUGUUUUAAAAUUC
rnacentral:lncRNA from 1 species